UGUGCUCAACAAGUCGGCGCCCGCGAGUGUGGCUAUUACGUUAUGAAGUUCAUGCAUGAAAUAGUCACGUUACACCAUAACACUGAUGAGCGGUUAGACAAUGCUUACACUCCAAGAAAUGCGCCUUAUACCGAUGAGGAAAUAGAUGUGGUUCGUGAGCAAUGGGCUAAGUUUUUUACAACCGAGUAUUUAUUUACUUAGGUUGUU